rnacentral:rRNA from 1 species
GGGAAUAUUGGACAAUGGGCGCAAGCCUGAUCCAGCCAUGCCGCGUGAGUGAUGAAGGCCUUAGGGUUGUAAAGCUCUUUUAGCAGGGAAGAUAAUGACGGUACCCGCAGAAAAAGCCCCGGCUAACUUCGUGCCAGCAGCCGCGGUAAUACGAAGGGGGCUAGCGUUGCUCGGAAUUACUGGGCGUAAAGCGCACGUAGGCGGACUCUUAAGUCGGUGGUGAAAUCCUGGAGCUCAACUCCAGAACUGCCUUCGAUACUGGGAGUCUUGAGUUCGGGAGAGGUGAGUGGAACUGCGAGGGUAGAGGUGAAAUUCGUAGAUAUUCGCAAGAACACCAGUGGCGAAGGCGGCUCACUGGCCCGAUACUGACGCUGAGGUGCGAAAGCGUGGGGAGCAAACA